rnacentral:rRNA from 1 species
UACGUAGGUCCCAAGCGUUAUCCGGAUUUACUGGGCGUAAAGUGUCCGUAGCCUGGUGUAUAAGUCUGUUUUCAAAUACCACGACUCAAUCGUGGAAAGGGAAUAGAUACUGUAUACCUAGAGAAUAUUGGAGGUUAGUGGAAUUUCCGGUGGAGCGGUGAAAUGCGUUGAUAUCGGAAAGAACGCCGAAAGCGAAAGCAGCUAACUAUGAUAUUUCUGACGGUGAUGGACGAAAGCUUGAGGAGCAAACGGG